GGCGACUUAGAGAAGUUGGUAAGUUGUCACCUCCCAAGUGGCAGGUCUAGGGUUCAAAUCCCACUGACGACG